rnacentral:rRNA from 1 species
UACGGAGGGAGCAAGCGUUACUCGGAAUUAUUGGGCGUAAAGGGCGCGUAGGCGAUUCGAUAAGUCUCAUGUGAAAUCCCAGGGCCUAACCCUGGAAUGGCAUGGGAUACUGUUGGAUUUGAGUUCCGGAGAGGGAUGUGGAAUGCCCGGUGGAGCGGUGAAAUGCGUAGAGAUCGGGCGGAACACCAGCGGCGAAGGCGGCAUCCUGGUCCUGUUCUGACGCUGAGGCGCGAGAGCGUGGGGAGGCGAACUGG